rnacentral:tRNA from 1 species
GUAGGCAUAAGGGAUUUGAAACAGCCUUUACCACUUCAAUCGCACUGAAGAAGCCGCGGGUUCGAGUCCCGCCAGGUCCA